UACAGAGGGUGCAAGCGUUAUUCGGAUUUACUGGGCGUAAAGGGCGCGUAGGCGGCUUAAUAAGUUUGAUGUGAAAUCCCUCGACUCAAUCGGGGAAGUGCAUUGGAUACUGUUAAGCUAGAGUGUAGGAGAGGAGAGCGGAAUUCCUGGUGUAGAGGUGAAAUUCGUAGAUAUCAGGAGGAACAACAGAGGCGAAGGCGGCUCUCUGGACUACAACUGACGCUGAGGCGCGAAAGCGUGGGGAGCAAACAGG
rnacentral:rRNA from 1 species